GACGAACGCUGGCGGCGUGCUUAACACAUGCAAGUCGAACGGAAAGGCCCUGCUUUUGUGGGGUGCUCGAGUGGCGAACGGGUGAGUAACACGUGAGUAACCUGCCCUUGACUUUGGUAUAACUUCAGGAAACUGGGGCUAAUACCGGAUAGGAGCUCCUGCUGCAUGGUGGGGGUUGGAACGUUUCGGCGGUUGGGGAUGGACUCGCGGCUUAUCAGCUUGUUGGUGGGGUAGUGGCUUACCAAGGCUUUGACGGGUAGCCGGCCUGAGAGGGUGACCGGCCACAUUGGGACUGAGAUACGGCCCAGACUCCUACGGGAGGCAGCAGUGGGGAAUAUUGCACAAUGGGCGGAAGCCUGAUGCAGCAACGCCGCGUGCGGGAUGACGGCCUGCGGGUUGUAAACCGCUGUCGCCUGUGACGAAGCGUGAGUGACGGUAAUGGGUAAAGAAGCACCGGCUAACUACGUG
rnacentral:rRNA from 1 species